AAGUACCUCUGAGUCCGUCGGACGAUACGUCCGCGGAUAGGAGUAACGGCUGGUUGGCGCAGCCAUCGACUCACCUGUUCGACAAGUCAACGGGUGGAUUCCACCCACAAGAACAGGUUGUGUCGUAGACCUUAAUAUCCCAACUGCGGUCGGGAAUCCUCGCCCUUCAGGACGGGAG
rnacentral:ncRNA from 1 species